rnacentral:tRNA from 1 species
GACGGCGUAGCUCAGUUGGAAGAGCAUUGGGCUAGUAUUCCAAAGGUCGUAGGUUCGAAUCCCGCCGUGGCCA